rnacentral:sRNA from 1 species
AAAAAUUGGCUGUGGUAAUUUUGGAGAAUUGCGGUUAGGUCGUCGAAUGUGUUUCUUUCCAACAACACCAUAUGCCGAAAAGAGUAUUAAUCCAGCAGG